UCCAAGACCGAAGGUGACUGAAUAAAUACUACGUUGGCUAUAGAAUCAGGAAGAUCUGAGCUCAACUCUUGUUUUAGACAGCAUAACUUGUGCCAUUCUGGGCAGGAACAGAA
rnacentral:lncRNA from 1 species